CUUGAGGAUAGACUCGGUGAAAUUGCAGUGGCUGUGAAGAUGCGGCCUUCCCAUACUUGGACAAAAAGACCCCGUGGAGCUUUACUGGAGCUUGGCCCUGAUUUGAAAGAUUAAUUGUGUAGCGUAGGAGGGAGAUUCGUCGACAAUGAAACACCUCUCUUUUAAUUUUUCAGAUCUAACCCUCUGCCUUAUAAAAACAGGCGAGGAGACAAGGUCUGGCGGACAGUUUAACUGGGGCGGUUUCCUCCAAAAGCGUAACGGAGGAGUGCAAAGGUACACUUUUCCCAUAAAGAAAUUGGGACAUAAGCGCAAAAGUAUAUAGUGUGCUUGACUGUGAGACAAACAGGUCGAACAGGUGCGAAAGCAGGCUUUAGUGAUCUCGUGUUUGAUCGUGGGAUCGGCACGGCUUAUCGGAUAAAAGCUACCCCGGGGAUAUGUUAUGUGUCCAGACUUCAUGGUAACAUGGAGUCAUUUAUACGGCUAAUAACGGUGGAAUCUAUAAUUCUUGGUUUAGGUCUUUACCAACAUCGAGAAGAGUUAUAGACAAUACCGUGGGAAGUCGGGAAGUGCCUUUAUGGUACAUCCUUGACCCCGUAUCGACUGAGCCCAUUAAAAGAGGAAACGAUAUUCCUCUUGGGCGAGAUGUGAGGUAAACUCUUGCAUCACAUGCCGUACUCCUGUAUUUAAAGUCGUCAAGACUUCGAAAACAGGAUGAAGAUAUAGUCAGCGCUAAUAGUGAUAUUAGAAUACAGUGAACAGGCUAGUGAAACCCAACAGUCCACAAGGACGGUUUCGUUCGGCACCUCGAUGUCGGCUCAACGUAUCCUGGGGGGGUAGUACCUCCCAAGGGUCGGGCUGUUCGCCCGUUAAAACGUUACGCGAGCUGGGUUCAGAGCGACGUGAGUCAGCUCGGACUCUAUCCAGUAUGGGCGCUUUGAUACUUGAAGGGAGUCGUCUCUAGUAAGAAAUUGCUACUUUCUGUAGAAAUGCAGAAUGACAAAUUGGCUAAUAACGGUGAAGCCCUCUUAAUUUUAGGUUUAGUUUGGUUCUAUACUAAACUUGAAGAAGGAGUGUUAAUGGGUAAUACCGUGGGAAGUCCGAUGCAAAUCGGACCCCGUAACGACUUGAUCCCGAUUAAAUCGGGACUAAUGGAAGGUGCCAGAUAAUCUGGAUUAAAACUUCCAUUAUAUGCCAGGUCCUGAUCCGCCAACUGGUGGAAGGACAAGAUAUAGUCUGAUUCUCCAGGAAACUGGAGUUAACAAAAUGACGAGAGGACCGAGAUGAGGCAACCUCUAGUGUGCCGGUUGUGUGUAAACAUGCAACGCCGGGUAGCUACGUUGUUAAUUGAUAAGUGCUGAAAGCAUCUAAGCACGAAACAAACCCUAAGAUGAGGUAUCUUUAAGACCCCUAGCAGACUACUAGGUUGAUAGGAAAGCGGUGUAAGCAUAGCAAUGUGUUUAGCCUACUUUUACUAAUGGUCGUAGUUGAGAAAAU
rfam:Candidatus Daviesbacteria bacterium RIFCSPHIGHO2_02_FTLL_43_12 rifcsphigho2_02_scaffold_5970, whole genome shotgun sequence.